rnacentral:rRNA from 1 species
GCGUGGAGGAUGAAGGCCUUCGGGUUGUAAACUCCUGUCAGGUGGGACGAAAGGAGCCCGGUCAAUACCCGGGCUCUCUGACGGUACCUCCAGAGGAAGCCCCGGCUAACUCCGUGCCAGCAGCCGCGGUAAUACGGAGGGGGCGAGCGUUAUUCGGAAUCAUUGGGCGUAAAGGGCGCGUAGGCGGCCCGCUAAGUCAGGGGUGAAAUCCCUCGGCUCAACCGAGGAAUUGCCUCUGAAACUGGCAGGCUUGAGGCCGGGAGAGGGUAGUGGAAUUCCCAGUGUAGCGGUGAAAUGCGU